CACACACACACACACACACAAAACUGUUGUUGUGCCAUGAAAUUCUAUCACACGUCCUUGUGAUGAAACCUGAUGAGCCUGCAGGCAAACAGCUAAUCCACAUUUUGGCCGUGCCAGGCAGAUAACAGGAGUAAACUACUGCUGGUCAAUUAGUGGUUUUGAGGAGUCACGGUUAACGCUAACAAUACAUUUCUGACACAUUACUCUGUUCGUAAAUGUAACAAAAAUUUAAAUCCUGUAUUUGCAACAAGAACUACCGACAGUCUUUUUGGAGUGUUUUUGUGAAAAAUGUUUAUACAGUAUUUCUGAAGAACAAUUGUAAGGUCAGAAGUACAGUAAUUGAUUUUGGACCUGAGAGAGUGCCUGGCUCACAAUCUCUCUUUUAGUUCAUCCCAAAGGUGUUUGAUGGACUCAAUGCUUCCUAUAACUGAUGCCAAAAUGUUACCAUUCGAUUAUCCAAAAUAUCUUGGCUAAAAACAUUAAGGAGCUAAGCCAGGGGUGAAGUCCAAUCCCUGGGGUGUGUCUCAACACAGUACCUUAUUCCAUCUAAGUAAUUCUGCAAGCUCACAGAAAACUCGAGUACAAGUCAACUCAAAACAAACUGAUGCAUCGGAGCCCUUCUGACAAACAACAAGCUGGUCAAAACAUACAAUGACUCCAGAGGCGGUGCAAAGGUGAUGUAAUGAGCAUUUAAAAAGGAUGAAGAGUCAGAGGUUAAAACAAAACCACAUUAAGGCAGAAUUACAUUCUGAAAAAUUGCAUUGAGGCUCCCACCACAUUCGUAGAACACAAUUAUAUCACAUCACACCAUGUUUUCAUACAAAUGAGACUAUGAAGGGGGAAGAUGAGAGGUGUCCACUGUGGGGAUCAUCCAAGCAUUCGACAAAAUUCUAUUUGGGAUUCUGCUAUCCUUCGACUCGGUGGCUCUUUACUGUCAAACAUGUAGUCCAUACUGUGAUAGCUCUUUGUACUCCAACCUACCCAGACCAUACGUGCUGCACGGAGAACCACAUCUCUGCGUUGGUAUGGCAACAACACAUGUGCAGGAACAAGGCUACAGUAUAUGCCUGCACAAGACCCACACAACCUCAAUUCACGCUCAUAUCAUGAUUUCCUUUUGCUCAGCUGUGACCUGAUUGCACUACACUCGACAGAUCUGUCACAUUUCUCCUUAUGUUACUCUAUCCUAAUUUUUUUUUUUAAAAACCAAGAGCAUCGAAAAAAAUAGAGCUUGAAGCAGGAUGCAUGUGUUAAAGUCAGCUGUAUGACUUAUUCAGGUUUGUGUGUAUGUAUCUUGGGAACACAGGCAGACACAGACGUACACACCAUUAUCUUGUAUUUAAUCAAUCAAUCAAUACAUGUAUUCAUUUGAUUUUGGUAAAGAAGAUUUGGGAAUUGCGACGUUGCUCCAU